AGAAAAGUCUCAGAGAAUCAAUACCCCUCCCCCCAAUAAAACACCAAAAAGCCAGGCAAGAGGUAUGGGUCUACUGGUAGAGCGCAAGUGGAACAAGUGCAAGACCUGGCAUUCAAAAGUCUGAUAUCAGCAAAAAAGCCAAUACCACGGGGGAAGAAAGCCCCCAAA